rnacentral:rRNA from 1 species
CAGCCGCCGCGGGAAUACGUUGGUGGCAAGCGUUGUCCGGAAUUAUUGGGCGUAAAGGGCUCGCAGGCGGUUUCUUAAGUCUGAUGUGAAAGCCCCCGGCUCAACCGGGGAGGGUCAUUGGAAACUGGGAAACUUGAGUGCAGAAGAGGAGAGUGGAAUUCCACGUGUAGCGGUGAAAUGCAUAGAGAUGUGGAGGAACACCAGUGGCGAAGGCGACUCUCUGGUCUGUAACUGACGCUGAGGAGCGAAAGCGUGGGGAGCGAACAGGAUUAGAUACCCCCGUAGUCCCUGUCUCUUAUAC